UCUCCGAUCACAUCUUUUGGGGCUUCCACAGAGCGAGAGGCUCCGAAGCGACGGGAAACUGCACAGGCCGCUGCUGCGGGGCUCGCGCACCGGCGAUGGCUGCCGUCUCCGCCCCCGUCCCCGCCCCCUCCUCCACCUUCAACCUAGGCGGUCUCUGCUCCGAUCCGCCACCGCCGCUCCGCCCCUCGGGUGAACAGCUAAAGUACUGCUCCGAAGCACUAGAUUUCUUCAAGGAGAAGCUCAGAACCCCUACUAGGAUCGCCCAGGAGUUCCACCGUCUCCAGGAGAUGAGGCCAACGAUGGAUGAGAUUGUGAGAAAGUGUUCCGUGGCUCUGCGAGAUGCAAACUUGGAUAAAAAUCGCUACACAGAUAUUCUCCCAUUUGACAAUAACAGGAUCGUUCUCAAUUCAACAAGGGACAGCACCUCCUUGAGGAACAAUUAUAUCAAUGCGAGUCUUAUUGGGCUAGCAUCUGGUGAAAAAGUCUCGCAGUUUAUUGCUACACAAGGUCCACUCCCUGAGACCUUUGAAGAUUUUUGGGAGAUGGUAUUUGAAUAUCGUUGUCCUGCAAUCGUGAUGCUAACACGUGUUGAUAAUCACAGGAUGAUGAGGAAAUGUGCUAAUUAUUUUCAAGCACAAAAUGGGCUCAGAGAAUUUGGAAAAAUCAGUAUUGAGACGAAAUAUACGAGAACAUCUGAUUCUUCAUUAGUGCUGCGCUGCUUGGAAGUGAAACACAAAGAGUUGGUGAAACCAGCCCUUUCGGUUCUCCAUAUCCAGUACCCUGAAUGGCCUGAUCAUGGGGUGCCUGAGGAUACUGCAUCAGUUCGGGAAAUUUUUGAAAUGACACAUCAUUUACCACCAGAAAUUGGCCCUAUUGUUGUGCAUUGCAGUGCAGGUAUUGGGAGAACUGGUACGUAUUGUACCAUUCACAACACACUGCAAAGGGUUCUCAUUGGUGAUAUGUCUUCUUUAGAUCUUAAGAAAACUAUUUCUGAGUUCAGAUCACAACGGCUAGGGAUGGUUCAGACAAUGGAACAAUAUUUCUUCUGCUAUGAUGCAAUCGUGGAUGAACUAGAAGAACUCCUCUCCAGGUCCGCACACUAGAAGCUCUAGAAGGUUACUCGGCAUCGUUAAUGCUCGAACGAAGAUCACCUGUCGCGCUCAGCCAGGGAACACGAGAAAGAGGGAGCGAGAUCGGUGCACCGCUCCCUUAUAAAUACCGACCUCCGUUGCCGUUUCUCAUCUCCCUCCCACCCCUCCCCCCACCUCAUCAUUUGAUCGCUGCCUCCUUCGCUUCCUCUGGUUGUUCUCCUUCGGCAUCUCGAGACUCCUGGGUUCCAUCCCCUCCUCAUCUUUGCCGAAUUUUCUUGUUUCGUUUGAUGGAUUCUCUUCUGAUCUCUUUGUCUUCUGAUGUAUGAUUGUUAAGUCUUGGACAUGUUUCUGGAUUCUUCACAUCAAAGUGUGUUUUCUUCUUUUUCUGGCAGGAUUACCGAGUUUGGUUUGAAGAUUCGGUGCAGAGGCAAAAGGAUCGCACUGCUCGAUCUCGGAGGCCGACAACUUCGACCUGGAAGCCGUUCGAUGAUCGGUCACUAGGCGAGAUCUCGACGACGGCAAAUCUCAGGCCGGUCGGUAGCUGUGGAAGCAUGUACUCCUCGGGCGCGGGGCGAUCGUUGCUGGACACGCCAGCCUCAUCGAAUCGGGAUUCGUUGAAGCCACACGCGAUGGUUCGAUCGGUAGUUUUCUUCCGAGGGCUGCCGGUGGGGGCAUGAUAGCACAUGAGAUCAUGCCUCGAAGGAGGCUUUUGAUUAUGAUCAGUUACUCUUGCUUGCCCUCCUGCGGCUCCUCUUCAUCGUCAGGCCAGCUGAAGCCUGCAUCGAAAGCUGAUGAUGGUGGUACCCUUGCCACCCUGACGAUCUGAGUUAUAUCUGCCACACUCUGAUGGGAAUAGGUGGGCAUGUUGUCAUCCUUCUUGCGGGUUGGCCACAAAGAUCCGAGAGAGAAGAUGCCUGCAGUCCUGGGAGAGAUGAACAUAUUCGGGCCCCACAAUGUCUUCAAAAUAUCCACAAAACCAGUCGUGCUGUCACUGAAGAGAAUCAAUUUAUGGUGCUCACCUUUCCAUCGUACUCUCGCUGGGAGAGGACCUCAGGAGCAAUGUAUGCAGGGCUUCCCACCGUCGAUUUCGGCCGCGAGUGAAGCACAGAUGACUAAAUUCUCCACACAAAAAGUCGCAGAUCUUGAGUCGAGGUGCCGGGCUGCCAUCAAGCAGAGUGUUCUCCAUCUUCAGGUCUCGAUGGCAAAUUUGCUUGGCAGUAGCUGACGCCGCAGAUGAGCUGCUGAAAGAAGUACCUCGCCUAGAGAUGCAGCAACAGAGCUUUAGAGCAGAAUCAACAAGGAAGAAGAUGAAGGGAGGGGUAAUACCUCGUCCUCGCUGAAUCUUCCCGUCACGCAGAUCCGCUCGAAGAGCUCUCCACCGGCGGCGUACUCCAUGACGAUCCCCAGAUGCGUGGGCGUGAGCACAACCUACAACGACGGAACAAGAGAUCAAGGAACCGAUCUUUUUCGUUCCUCAAGAGGUACGUCGACGAAUCAUGAAACCCUAAGCAGACGCGACGAGGAGCCCAAGCCCACCUCCUUGAAUCUGAUAAUAUUGGGAUGCCGAAGCGACCGGUGAUUGAUGAUCUCCCUCGCCACCUUCUCAUCGAUCUAACCCCUCGCAAAGAAUUCAAGAAACAAGAAACACGAUAGUGCUCCGUUCUGAA